rnacentral:sRNA from 1 species
CUGCCCUGGAGUUGGGUCUGGAUCACAUCUCCCUGAUCCUCUCCAACAGAGGCUUAAGACGAAGCAAAAAGAACUGGAGGCCAAGAUGUUGGCCCAGAAGGCUGAGGAAAAGGAGAACCAUUGUCCCACAAUGCUCCGGCCCCUUUCACAUCGCACAGUCACAGUGGCAAAGCCCCUGAAAAAGGCUGUGGUGAUGCCCCUACAGCUAAUUCAGGAGCAGGCAGCAUCCCCAAAUGCCGAGAUCCAUAUCCUGAAGAAUAAAGGCCGGAAGAGAAAGGUGAAAGUAGCUGGGGGCUUAGGCUACACCUGGAGCCUAGAAGUAAGGGGGAGUAGGCUGUAGGGGGAGGAGCGUUGGCCUUGGGGUUAAACGAACUGGGUGAUGGCCGCCAGCUAUUAACAGACCUCAACUUGCUUACUCCUGGAAUGUGGUGAUGGAUGGUUCCUUGCAGGGCAUUUAGGGUGGAAGGCAGUGAUGUGGAUGUACCUCGCAGAGCGGAUGUUCCACUGUGUAGCCUGGCUUCUGCCCUCUACAAGCUUAAGACGGAAAACUUAGGGAACUAUGAUCUAAGCAGUCAAGCAUGAAACCACACACACGCACACACCCAGAAUCGAACACCACUAGAACUACCCAAAAAGUUUCUCCCAUGUACUUUUGAAAGACAGUUUAUUCUUUCCCUUUUAGAGAUGAGGGACCAGAUUUAAGAGCUUAUUUUGUGCUUUACAUUCAUUAACUCACUUGAUCUCCACAGCAACUCCGUGAGAAAGGUGCUGAUAUUAACACUAGGUACUAAGUAGUACCUCUCUUUCACUAGUCGCAUAAUGAGAAUUAACCCAGAGAGUGACCUGAGGGCGGGAUUUUGGACACACUUGACAGGAGAGGAAGAGGCUGGAGCGCAGGAGGUAGCUGGUGCUGGGCUUCUAGUCUUGGCAGAGGAGCCCAAAGCACUUGGCUGCCCUGCGUGUCACUCAUCUCCCUUUGCCUCCCAGCUGGAGUCCCUGGAUGCCCUAGAGCCUGAGGAGAAGGCUGAGGACUGCUGGGAGCUACAGAUCAGCCCGGAGCUAUUGGCUCAUGGGCGCCAAAAAAUACUGGAUCUGCUGAACGAAGGCUCAGCCCGAGAUCUCCGCAGUCUUCAGCGCAUUGGCCCGAAGAAGGCCCAGCUAAUCGUGGGCUGGCGGGAGCUCCACGGCCCCUUCAGCCAGGUAGCAACCCACUGGACUGGGGGAGGGCGGAGGCGGGGGAGACCGGGUACCCCCAAGACCCUGUCCCCCAUCGAUCCUGUCCCGCCAGGUGGAGGACCUGGAACGCGUGGAGGGCAUAACAGGGAAACAGAUGGAGUCCUUCCUGAAGGUGAAGUCACGGCCCUGCCCCUCCUCUGCCUGUCCUGCGCCCCGCGCCCCUCUCUAACGUCGCUGUCCCCCUCCCUCCUGUGUUGCAGGCAAACAUCCUGGGUCUUGCCGCCGGCCAGCGCUGUGGCCCCUCUUGACCGUUGUCUCCUCACUCUGCCUUUUUAAAUCUUUGUAUAACCCCGU